rnacentral:sRNA from 2 species
AAGCGAAUACGGCCGAACUCCGGCGCACGUCGCCGGGGACGGGGGAACCGAUCCAGUGGGGUGAAUCUCCGAAUCGUUCGGAGUAGGCAAUCUCCCUUGACCGAACCCGUCAGCUAACCCCGUAGGCACCAGGGAGAGGCUAG